GACGAACGCUGGCGGCGUGCCUAACACAUGCAAGUUGAGCGACGAACCAGGGCUUGCCCUGGGGCAAAGCAGCGAACGGGUGAGUAACACGUGGGUAACCUACCCCGAUAACCGGGACAACCCGAGGAAACUCGGGCUAAUACCGGAUGUGCUCACUGGACUUCGGUUCAGUGCGUAAAGGAAGCUUCGGCCUCCGUAUCGGGAGGGGCCCGCGGCCCAUUAGGUUGUUGGUGAGGUAACGGCUCACCAAGACCGCGAUGGGUAGCUGGUCUGAGAGGACGAUCAGCCACACUGGGACUGAGACACGGCCCAGACUCCUACGGGAGGCAGCAGUGGGGAAUCUUGCGCAAUGCGCGAAAGCGUGACGCAGCAACGCCGCGUGGGGGAAGAAGGCCUUCGGGUUGUAAACCCCUUUCAGGAGGGACGAAGGUUCGGCGGUGAAUAGCCGUCCGGACUGACGGUACCUCCACAAGAAGCCCCGGCUAACUACGUG
rnacentral:rRNA from 1 species